CUGCUGAGUUCCAGUACUGGAAACAAACACCCCUCCAAUGGGGCCUGCUCGCCACAGAGACCACAGUCAAGCAAGUUCCCAAUCCGACAAGACUCAGAACUUCAGCUUUGCCUCACACAUCUCCGUACAAUGAGGCUUUAGUGGACUCUCAACGCUUUUAAAGUUAUUUAUUGGGAGGACAGCCACGUGUCACAGCACCAGUGUGAACGUCACGGGACAGCCUGCAGGAGUUGGCUCUCUGCUCCCAUCAUGGAGGACUCAGCAAUCAAACACAGUUUUUCGGGCUUGGGAGCAAGCAUCUUUACCCACUGAGACAGCCCUGAUACAUUUUUAGUCUUACACUUAGCAUUCUGAGAUAAUCUUUGAAGAGUGGAUAUACUCCUCACCCAAGCAGUUGCAUGCACUCUCACAUGGUCACAUGGUACACUUUAGGCGGCAACAGUGCCCAAAUAGCACAGUUCUGUUGGUGGAUACCACCCCAUUAAGGAUUCUGGUCUUUUCUGGUCUCUGACUUCUAUCUAUGCCAUCUGCCUAUCUCUUUAUCCACAAGGUAAUUAUGUUGUAUAUUUAUACUCAACUCACUCUCCAAAGAUGAAGGGUCUAUA